GCUUUCUAAAUGUCCGCUGGCAUGCUCCCUCAAUUUGUUUUUUGAUGGACCAAGUCCUCCCCUUGAUGUGCAAUCUCUUAUGAAAUGACUUUACUCAGCUCGGUCACAUGCAAACCUGGGACUGCUGUUUUUUUGGUGGAUAACGGUGGCCCAGUGCAUGAUAGAGAAGUUCCCAGAGGUGACAGCAAACCACACCUCAUAGCCUCACCCCUGGGUCACGAGGACAGGUCUGAGCACCCAGACAGACAUGUGGGACAUGACCAGGUCAUACAGACAGCAUCCAGCGCCUCUGGUGUCCUUCUGCACCCAUUUAGAGGGGGCCCUCCCUGGUGCCCGACGGGCUGCUUCCCAACGUCUGAACACCAUUGUUUCAACAGCCACGGGGGGGGGGGUGUUCCUAGCACCCACACGUGCCACGCAUGCUCAGCACCCAUUUCAUGAAAGCCUCGAAGCUGCAGACUUGGCUCACUACCUUCCUGGAAAUUCUGCCUUGAACACUAUUGGCAGAAUGUCCUCUCUGAAAACCAGCCCACCAAGAAGGACGUUUGUCAGCUCUUAACUCAAAUGAGCAUGUUACUAAAUGCCCCAAGUAUGCCACUUUGAAUUCUAACACUGAUAGAAAUGGAUGGAUGGAUGGAUGGAUGGGUAGAUGGAUGGAUGGAUAGGUGAAUGACAGAUGAAUG
rnacentral:lncRNA from 1 species